rnacentral:rRNA from 1 species
AGAGUUUGAUCCUGGCUCAGAGUGAACGCUGGCGGUAGGCCUAACACAUGCAAGUCGAACGGCAGCACAGGAGAGCUUGCUCUCUGGGUGGCGAGUGGCGGACGGGUGAGGAAUACAUCGGAAUCUACUCUGUCGUGGGGGAUAACGUAGGGAAACUUACGCUAAUACCGCAUACGACCUACGGGUGAAAGCAGGGGAUCUUCGGACCUUGCGCGAUUGAAUGAGCCGAUGUCGGAUUAGCUAGUUGGCGGGGUAAAGGCCCACCAAGGCGACGAUCCGUAGCUGGUCUGAGAGGAUGAUCAGCCACACUGGUACUGAGACACGGUCCAGACUCCUACGGGAGGCAGCAGUAGGGAAUAUUGGACAAUGGGCGCAAGCCUGAUCCAGCCAUACCGCGUGGGUGAAGAAGGCCUUCGGGUUGUAAAGCCCUUUUGUUGGGAGAGAAAUCCAGCUGGCUAAUACCCGGUUGGGAUGACGGUACCCAAAGAAUAAGCACCGGCUAACUUCGUGCCAGCAGCCGCGGUAAU